UCUACGCUAGGUCGUUGUCUCUGUUAUGGGUCUGAUGCUGCUCUUACAGCUCCAGAGGGACUGGGGGAUGCUGAGAGCUCUAUGUGCUUAUCCAGACCAAGGAUGGAUGAUUCUUGCUGGUGGCAUUUCCAGGCUCCUGCCCUCACUGCAGUAUAACCCAGUGGACAACUUGCCCUGUGGUGUGCAGGGUAGACUGUCUGUUGUUUCAGCAGCAGCACUUGUUUCGAGGCAGGAUAAGGGGAACCAAAUGAGCUUGUCCCUCCUGUGUUGCUAUGUCUUUGGUUUCCAUUGUAAAAUGAAAUUGAUGCAAUUUGUGAGGAUGCCUCCAGGAAGCACCAGCCUUUGCAGUCACACAAUUGUGUAGAAACCUCAGCUUUUAUUCAUUUCCCCAUGCCUCAUCAGGAUGCUGAAAGCUUCAAGCACAAAGGAGCAGCGAGAUGGGUUUAUGGUUGUAUUAAAAAUCCAUGCUGCUCCAGAUGAACUUAUGGGCUCUUUUUUUCUUUCCCAGGGACAUGGGCUCAUGAAUGUUUAAUUCCUGAGCUCGGCAGCGCUGGCUGAAUUAGAAACAGAACAACUGAUUUUAAUGGGUGUAAGAUUAAUGCAGAUGAGCUUGGCUGAAACUGUGGUUCCAGAGGAAAGCUCCCUCCUCGGUGGGCUGUUGUGUUGCAAGCAUUACUGUAGCAGAACAUAUUCCAAUCACUGGGCAUUACCUAGGGCAGAAACACUCAUUAAACAGGGUCAUAAUGGAUGUUUUGGACAUUAGCUCUUUGCAGGUGCCCUGGGCCCUCAUCAUUUUUACAAGGUGGAUUUGGCUACCGAGUGUGUAAGUAGGGAAGAAGGAUGGUGUGGAUGGCUGUGAGGAACCUCCCUUAACUCUGGGCUAGCAUCCACUGGACGGGAAGGAGAAGACUUUGUGCUGUUGCAUGGAGCCACCACAGCUCCAAGCAAGGUCAUGGUGUACACCUGUGCCUACCCCUUGGUGGAGAACUAUUUGUUUGAUAUAGUGCUAUAUAAAUAGCAGAUACUGAUAUGAGAGAGCUGGUGCCCCACAACACCCUGGCACUGGGCAGAGCUCUCUUACUGCUAUAAACAACCUGUUGGUUAGCUCAAUGGCUUGCUUUCCUCUACAGCUGAAAUAUUUGUAUAGCGAGUGGUUUUAUUGCCUGAGCAGUAAGGAAGGAUGGGGGAGGCUGAGCUGAACUGAUUUAAUUUGAUUCCCUGCGUGACUGGCAGCUUUAUAUCUCUGUUUAUAUUUUAUAUGUUUCAAUCAGGUCGUGCUGGCAGAGAUCACAUCUCUGCAGGUUCUGCCUGCUUGGGCUGUUGAGUGGAUGCAGCAGGAGCAUUCAUGAGUGGUGUGUGAUGAACCGUAAACAACGAGGAGUGUCCCAGGGAAGGACUGGGUGACCAUGGAGGAGCAGGUUGACUGGCCAGCUUUACAGGGACCUCCUGCCCGACCACAGGAGAUGCUUUCCUCAGCUAAAUGACAGCCCCUGGUGUUGGGUUGGGAAAAGCUGCUGACUGCAGGGCUGGGAGCUCCUGUUUCAGGGAGAACAGGCUGCAAAUGAGCCAGGAAAACUUGUACUCUAGGACUUGAUCCUCUUGGGAUGUAUCCUGAAAUGGAUGGGAUGCUGGGCUGGGAUGUGAGACUGGGAGCCAGGAGGCUGACCCGCCUUCUGGGUUUUCCGUGUGUACAUCUUCCUCUUUCUGUGCCCAUCCAUGGAGUCCUAGGGGCAGCUUGGAGGUGUGACAUGAAGGUCCCUUUUUGCUACCUGCCUGCAUGGGAAACAGCUUCCUCAUGUGCAUCAGGAUGCUGUGACAGUGCAGGAGCUGGUUGUGUCCUCCAAGAUCCUGGAAAGUGCUGAAGAUAAAAGACCCAGGGAUCAAGUUGUAUGGGUACUGAGACAUCUCCCUGGCAACAGGAUUCCUGGAUCUCCAUCUGCGCCCAAACUGGAACCAGAUAUGGCCACACUGCAUCUGUGGUCCCCCUUUUUGACCUCCUUCCAUCUGCACAUCCUUGGUGUCCGGCCAAAGCCAUUGGACUGCAGAGGAGCUGUAGAGCAAGGCUCUGGCUUGUAUGGGAGGCAGAGGUGCCACCUUCAGCACAGAGAAGCAGAACCUGGAAGGCUUGGGAAUGGACCUUCCCUUGGAUGGAUACAUUGCACAGAAAACCGGACGUACCAUAGAAUAGU